CCCUUAGAUGGUCUGGGCGGCACGCGCGCUACAAUGAUGCAUUCAAAAAGUCUUCUGACCUUAGAAGGUUGGGUAUUCUCCAAAGUGCAUCGUGAUGGGAAUAGUUUAUUGCAAUUUUUAAUCUUGAACGAGGAAUUCCUAGUAAGUACAGGUCAUCAACUUGUGUUGAUUACGUCCCUGCCCUUUGUACACACCGCCCGUCGCUCCUACCGAUGAGUCGUCCGGUGAAGUUCGUAGACCUCGUGAUCGCGGAUCACUAGGGGAAGCAAAAUGAACCUCGCGGGUUAGAGGAAGGAGAAGUCGUAACA
rnacentral:rRNA from 1 species